GUUACAAUUAAGGCUAUUAAAAUAUAUGAAAAAAUGUAUCUGUGUUUAUAUACAGCAUCUACUUAUUAAUAUCUGUAACUCAAUUGUUAAAACUUUAUUUUGAUGGCCUGAUAUUUAAAAAACUUUCACAUACCUGACUGUGCUUUGUAUCACAGCCAGGAGCUGAUGAAGCACUGGGUUGUGCAACCACAGAUUAAUUCUUGGACAGAUUUUUCUGCUUCACUACUUCUUUUGUGGGUGCCAAAAAUAAUUGCUGAUUGUGCCAAGUUGUGUCUUUAUCAGCUGUCAAAGAUCUCAGUGCACUGUCAUAUGGCAUCUAAGCACAUCAAACCACAACCAAAGCAAAGAAUAAAGAUGAGAGAAAGAGUGAAUUCUGAAACCAGUUCCAGUGUUUUCUGCUCAAAGCUCCAAGAGACAAUGUUGAAAACUCCCAUAAUUCGCGUCCUGGAGUAUUCUGAAUCAAUGCAACUGAUACUCUCUCCCAUAAUCACAGAGAAAAUGAGAACUCUAAGAAUCUAUCUCUGAAUCAAUUUCUGAAGUCUUUGACACAAUUUUCCCCAUCAUUGAGCAUAAUGGUGCCUGAAAUAUACAACUAGAGACGGACAAUAUAAAUUUGCAGUGUCUGGAG
rnacentral:lncRNA from 9 species